GCCUAGGGAGGCAGCAGUGAGGAAUAUUGGUCAAUGGGCGCGAGCCUGAACCAGCCAAGUAGCGUGAAGGAUGACUGCCCUACGGGUUGUAAACUUCUUUUAUAAAGGAAUAAAGUGAGGCACGUGUGCCUUUUUGUAUGUACUUUAUGAAUAAGGAUCGGCUAAUUCCUGCCAAGCGCCCGCGGUAUUCCGGGGGUUCCGGGGUUUAUCGGGAUGUUUUGGGUUUAAAGGGGGCGUAGAUGGGUUGUGAAGUCAGUGGUGAAAGUUGCCGGCUCAACGGUAAAAUUGCAAUUGAUACUGGCAGUCUUGAGUACAGUUGAGGUAGGCGGAAUUCGUGGUGUAGCGGUGAAAUGCGUAGAUAUCACGAAGAACUCCGAUUGCGAAGGCAGCUUACUAAACUGCCACUGACAUUGAUGCUCGAAAGUGUGGGUAUCAAACGGGAUUAGAUACCCGGGUAGUC
rnacentral:rRNA from 1 species